CAACCAUUCAAGGGAAAAUUGCACUCGGGAAGAAAAGGCAGCUCAUCAGCAGCUCGCUUAUCAACUCCACAGGCACAUCCUUGCACACAGACUCUUCUGUAUCAAUGAACCCAGAUGAGGUGUUUGGGAAGAAGCCAGUCCUUAAACCAGAGUAGACACCUGUAGUGGUGAAACAGAACCUAUUGGAUCAAAUGUACUCUGCAAUUAAGCACCAUGCAAAUAAGAAAAAAAGGUCAAAACCAACUUCUGACGAGUAUCAUGAAGCAGAACACCUAAAGACUCUACCCUGUGGCCUGUAAAAUGUUUUUACUUCCUGUGAAGCAGUGCUGGACUUGCUGUGAACACUAUAAUGCAUCAAACAUGGAAGGUUAAUACCAGCUCUUUCUGAUGAUUAGCUUGGGCAGAACAAAGGAAAAAAGAAAAAUAGUUAAAAAAAACCCAACAACAACAAACAACAAAAAAGAGGAAAUGAGAAGAUAUUGACAUAUAAAGGUGGCCUGAUGGACUUCAAUUGCCAGCAGCUUCUGGGCCAGCAAAGCCAAUUCCACCUCUGCAAAAGGAAAAGCCAAAGAAGAUGAAUG